rnacentral:rRNA from 1 species
AACAAACGCUGGCGGCGUGUCUUAAGCAUGCAAGUUGAGCGGCAAGGAGGAGAGAUCCUCCCUAGAGCGGCGGACUGGUGAGUAACGCGUGGGUAAUCUAUCGUAGGCAUGGGGAUAGUCACUAGAAAUAGUGGGUAAUACCGAAUACGUUCCAUGAGGGGAGUAUUCAUGGAAGAAAGGGUGCUACGGCACUGGCCUUAGGUGAGCUCGCGUCCCAUUAGCUAGUUGGUGAGGUAAAGGCCCACCAAGGCGAUGAUGGGUAGCCGGCCUGAGAGGGUGUACGGCCACACUGGGACUGAGAUACGGCCCAGACUCCUACGGGAGGCAGCAGCUAAGAAUAUUCCGCAAUGGACGAAAGUCUGACGGAGCGACGCCGCGUGGAUGAAGAAGGCCGAAAGGUUGUAAAGUUCUUUUGCUAGGGGAGAAUAAGUGAGGGAGGGAAUGCCCUCAUGAUGACAAGGACUAGCGAAUAAGCCCCGGCAACUACGUGCCAGCACG